UAAGCUACAGCAUUAAGUAGUGUAAGUACGCACUUUAAACACACUUUUACUUACAUGAAUAACUCUCAUGAAUUUGCUAUCCCACCUUAAAAGCUGCUAAUCUACCAUUCCGCGGCACACAGGCUUCAGGUUGUAGAUACUAUUUUUGGCAUUUUUUAAAGGUGGAACAGAACAUUCAAAUUGGAAUUCACAUUCUGUUUUAUAUGGACUGUUUGUGCACACCCUAAGCAGAAAUGUGUAAAAUACUUAUUUUAAUAACUUUAUCGUGUACGACAGUCUACAAAAAGGAAGCUGUGUUUUAACGUAGAUGUGAAAAUGUGUUUUAAUGCAGGGAAAUAUGUUAAGGUGGAACCGAAAUGUGUUUUAAGGCGGAAGGGAAAUAUGAACAAGAAACUAAAAGCUGCAUACGCUGCAGUAGCCCAAUUUACAAGUCUCUCAGAGCCAUGAAUAGUUUUCAUCAUCUGUGUCCACAAGAUUCUGAAGAUCUUACAGGUGUAAACCUUUACUCCCCAUCUUACAGCCCUACGGUCCCUAGACGUGAACAGAAACUGAUCAGCAAACCCCAGUGAGCCGUUAUCAAGACAAUCAUAAAUGAAGUGCUUUCUGAUCCUGACAUAACCUUUGACUAUUGUGACCUGGAGGAUGAUCUCAAUGAUUUUUGCCAUCUUUCCAAGUCUGUGGAUCUGAUUUGCAAGAAACUUGCCUAUGUGACAUAUAGACAUGGUUCAAGACGUCAAUGUAAGCAUGUUCGUUCAUUGUGAAAAAACGUUUGAAUCUGGUUAUGAAUUGUGAAAUGUGUCAAACACAAGGCC
rnacentral:lncRNA from 1 species